AGCCAGACUCCUACGGGAGGCAGCAGUGGGGAAUAUUGCACAAUGGGGGAAACCCUGAUGCAGCGACGCCGCGUGAGUGAAGAAGUAUUUCGGUAUGUAAAGCUCUAUCAGCAGGGAAGAAAAUGACGGUACCUGACUAAGAAGCCCCGGCUAACUACGUGCCAGCAGCCGCGGUAAUACGUAGGGGGCAAGCGUUAUCCGGAUUUACUGGGUGUAAAGGGAGCGUAGACGGCAUGGCAAGUCAGAUGUGAAAGCCCGGGGCUCAACCCCGGGACUGCAUUUGAAACUGUCAGGCUGGAGUGCAGGAGAGGUAAGUGGAAUUCCUAGUGUAGCGGUGAAAUGCGUAGAUAUUAGGAGGAACACCAGUGGCGAAGGCGGCUUACUGGACUGUAACUGACGUUGAGGCUCGAAAGCGUGGGGAGCAAACAGGAUUAGAUACCCGCGUA
rnacentral:rRNA from 1 species